UACGAAGGGGGCUAGCGAUGUUCGGAUUUACUGGGCGUAAAGCGCGUGUAGGCGGGUCGUUAAAUCGGGGGUGAAAGCCCAGAGCUCAACUCUGGAACUGCCUUCGAUACUGGCGAACUUGAGUGAGGAAGAGGCGAGUGGAAUUCCGAGUGUAGAGGUGAAAUUCAUAGAUAUUCGGAGGAACACCAGUGGCGAAGGCGGCUCGCUGGUCCUUUACUGACGCUGAGACGCGAAAGCGUGGGGAGCAAACAGG
rnacentral:rRNA from 1 species